rnacentral:tRNA from 1 species
GGAUCCAUGGCACAACGGCAGUGCGUUUGACUCCAGAUUAGAAGACUGCUUGUUCGAAUCACGCCAGGUUCU